UACCAGGAACUUGAUAAGUUCCGUGAUGGUUAUCGCAACAUGGAAAAUUAUCGUGAUCAUGGGUUUGACAAGGUUGCUAGGUUUGGGGGACGCGAUCGAGAUGAUCAUGCAUAUGAUGAUUAUGAUUACAGGCCCCGUGUUUCCAGCCAAAAUAGGGAGGACAGUCGUGAGAGGGAUUAUGAAUAUGGUAGGCAUAGUUAUGAUUCAGACUAUGAGAGAGGGAGUAAAAGAGAGGGAAAUUGGAGGCGGCGUGAAUCCCGUGAUCGAGAGCGUGAUAAGACAGGUUUGAGUCGAGAAAGAGAUCAGAGUCCACAUAAAAGGCAUGAACGAUCUUGCUCUCGUGGACGUGAUGACCGUCCUAGAUCAAGGUCCCCUAGAGGUCGAAGUCAUGGUCGAAGUCAACGUGAAGAUAGUUAUGACGACGGUCAACAUGAGAGGACAGAAAGGCGGAGAGACCGUGAGGAGAGGCGUCAUCGAGGGAAUUACACAGUGGCUCCAUCUGCAACUGUUGUUGUGAAAGGUCUAUCUCAGAAGACAACUGAGGAAGAUUUGUAUCAGAUACUUGCUGAAUGGGGACCCCUCCGCCAUGUGCGUGUGAUCAAAGAGCGGAAUUCUGGCAUUUCUCGUGGAUUUGCUUUUAUUGAUUUUCCAUCUGUGGAUGCAGCUUGUGCGAUGAUGGAUAGGAUUGGGGAUGAUGGUUAUGUUGUGGAUGGCAGGAAACUGUUCUUUGAGUAUAGUAAGCCAACUGGGGGUGCAGGUGGAC
rnacentral:misc_RNA from 1 species